AGCGAACGCUGGCGGCAGGCCUAACACAUGCAAGUCGAACGGACCCUUCGGGGUUAGUGGCGGACGGGUGAGUAACACGUGGGAACGUGCCUUUAGGUUCGGAAUAGCUCCUGGAAACGGGUGGUAAUGCCGAAUGUGCCCUUCGGGGGAAAGAUUUAUCGCCUUUAGAGCGGCCCGCGUCUGAUUAGCUAGUUGGUGAGGUAAUGGCUCACCAAGGCGACGAUCAGUAGCUGGUCUGAGAGGAUGACCAGCCACAUUGGGACUGAGACCCGGCCCAAACUGCUACGGGAGGCAGCAGUGGGGAAUCUUGCGCAAUGGGCGAAAGCCUGACGCAGCCAUGCCGCGUGGAUGAUGAAGGUCUUAGGAUUGUAAAAUCCUUUCACCGGUGAAGAUAAUGACUGUAGCCGGAGAAGAAGCCCCGGCUAACUUCGUGCCAGCAGCCGCCGUAAUAC
rnacentral:rRNA from 1 species